rnacentral:tRNA from 1 species
UAGGAAGUAGUAUAGUGGAAGUACAAGAGGUUUUGAGUCUUUUGGUACAGGUUCGUGUCCUGUCUUUCUAA